GACGAACGCUGGCGGCGUGCUUAACACAUGCAAGUCGAGCGGUAAGGCCCUUUCGGGGGUACACGAGCGGCGAACGGGUGAGUAACACGUGGGUGACCUGCCUUUAGCUCUGGGAUAAGCCUGGGAAACUGGGUCUAAUACCGGAUAUGACUCCAUGAUGCAUGUUGUGGGGUGGAAAGCCUUGUGCGGCUGGAGAUGGGCCCGCGGCCUAUCAGCUUGUUGGUGGGGUGAGGCCUACCAAGGCGACGACGGGUAGCCGGCCUGAGAGGGCGACCGGCCAUACUGGGACUGAGACACGGCCCAGACUCCUACGGGAGGCAGCAGUGGGGAAUCUUGCGCAAUGGGCGAAAGCCUGACGCAGCGACGCCGCGUGAGGGAUGACGGCCUGGUU
rnacentral:rRNA from 1 species